CGCCACAACUGAAGCCUAUUUAAUCUGGAAGCUGAAACCCUACCAGUCUUUUCAUUGAUUGCACGCACUCCAGAAGGGGAAGGGAUGGGAAGCCGUCUUCAGAAUAUAGCGCUAAACCACUCAGCGUUUCAGUUAUCUUUACAGACGUGAUCUGUUGUUUUCAUAGCAGAUCAUAUGCCAUUUGGUGGGCACCAGUUUGAGUCAGAUGGUGGAUGAUGGCAGUGUUGGAGUUGUGGUACAAUGUUCCAGUGACGAUAGUGCUGCUGUGACACCACAUUCCGUUAUAACCACUUGAGAAAACGAGUGUGAGAAAGGGCCUCUACCAUCUGCAUCAAGCCGGGUUCAAGCUUGGAGAUGAAUAUAGUUGCAACUGUAACAAGACACUAUUGAGCCGUCUUGGUAAAAGUUGAUACCUGCAGGUAAUAAGCAAGACAAUGCACCCACCUGAUGGAGAUGAGGCCAGUGGAACAACUUCUGUUCUCCCUGAUGCCAAACUUGCUAAGAAAUGUUUGUCAUUUAAUUUGCCAUAUUGGAUCACUGACAGUUUUUCCAUCUGCCAGUAGUAGUCUUGUACAUAAUGUAUCCAAGCAGUAUCACUCUGCAUGCUGUACUUGCAAUGUGGCAGUGUGUGACAUUUUGUCUUUAAAGGGAAAACUACGCAGCUGUUGUUUAUUCACAAAUGUGACCGCAAACUGAAUUUUAGCUACUCUAUCAGAUUAAAUACUGUACAGAUUUUGUGCUGAAUUAAACUGGUGGGAACACUA